GGCUCCAUAGCUCAGUGGUUAGAGCACUGGUUUUGUAAACCAGGGGUCGCGAGUUCAAUUCUCGCUGGGGCCU
rnacentral:tRNA from 2 species